CAGUAGGGAGGAAGGUAGUGUAGUUAACACCUGCAUUAUUUGACGUUACCUACAGAAGAAGCACCGGCUAACUCCGUGCCAGCAGCCGCGGUAAUACGGAGGGUGCGAGCGUUAAUCGGAAUUACUGGGCGUAAAGCGCAUGCAGGCGGCCUGUUAAGUCAGAUGUGAAAGCCCGGGGCGUUAACCUACGGUAAUUGCAUUUAGAAACUGGCAGGCUAGAGUCUUGUAGAGGGGGGUAGGAAUUUCAGGUGUAGCGGUGAAAUGCGUAGAGAUCUGAAGGAAUACCAGUGGCGAAGGCGGCCCCCUGGACAAAGACUGACGCUCAGAUGCGAAAGCGUGGGGAGCAAACAGGAUUAGAUACCCUGGUAG
rnacentral:rRNA from 1 species